GGGGACAUAGCUCAGUUGAGAGAGUGAUUGCCUUGCAUGCAGAAGGCCCUGGGUUCAAUCCCUAGCACUACCA
rfam:Ictidomys tridecemlineatus contig007423, whole genome shotgun sequence.